UACAGAGGUCCCGAGCGUUGUUCGGAAUUAUUGGGCGUAAAGGGCGCGUAGGCGGUGCGGUAAGUCACCUGUGAAAUCUCCUGGCUCAACUGGGAGCUUGCAGGCGAAACUGCCGUGCUGGAGUGUGGGAGAGGUGCGUGGAAUUCCUGGUGUAGCGGUGAAAUGCGUAGAUAUCAGGAGGAACACCUGUGGCGAAAGCGGCGCACUGGACCACAACUGACGCUGAGGCGCGAAAGCUAGGGGAGCAAACAGG
rnacentral:rRNA from 1 species